GGGGGGCUGGCGCAACGGUAGCGCGUCAGAUUCCAGUUAGUUUAUAACGAGAUUCCUGAAGGUUAUCGGUUCGAAUCCGAUGUCCCUCA